GAUGAACGCUGGCGGCGUGCCUAAUACAUGCAAGUCGAGCGAACAGACGAGGAGCUUUCUCCUCUGACGUUAGCGGCGGACGGGUGAGUAACACGUGGAUAACCUACCUAUAAGACUGGGAUAACUUCGGGAAACCGGAGCUAAUACCGGAUAAUAUAUUGAACCGCAUGGUUCAAUAGUGAAAUACGGUUUUGCUGUCACUUAUAGAUGGAUCCGCGCCGCAUUAGCUAGUUGGUAAGGUAACGGCUUACCAAGUCAACGAUGCGUAGCCGACCUGAGAGGGUGAUCGGCCACACUGGAACUGAGACACGGUCCAGACUCCUGCGAGAGGCAGCAGUAGGGAAUCUUACGCAGUGGGCGAAAGCCUGACGGAGCAAGGCCGAGUGAGUGAUGACGGUCUUCGGAUCGUGAAAAUCGGUUAUGAGGGAAGAACAAAUGUGUAAGUAAAUAUGCACGUAGUGACGGUACCUAAUCAGAAAGCAACGGCUAACUACGUG
rnacentral:rRNA from 1 species